CACUCUUUGCCCUCUCCCUUUCUUUAAAGCCGGCUGCGGUGGGAGGCUGAGAAGCAUCCCCAAACUCCCGCACAGCCGCUCCGCCCGGGUCAACCAGAGAAAGCUUCACAAAUCCGGUCCUGAGCCUUAAAGAGGAACCAGGCAGCCAGAGCCUUUUGCCCGCUUAACCCCCCAGGGAUGUCCGCUUCCCAAGAGGGAGCCGGCUUCCCAGGCAGCUUGAGAAACUUGAUCGAGAUCCCAGAAAGGAGGCGAGGUGUAACUCGGGUCAAAGGCAGCUCUGAGGCGACACCCUCUUUACCUGCAAAGUUGCAAUCUUCUGGCUGAAGAGGGAUGGAGUCUAGGCCGGCGGCGCGGUGCUUUGCCCGGUGAGAGCACACCCGGCAAAUUCCAGUGGGAUUUCCUUAGUCUCCGCCGAGUUUUGGAGCAUUCCAAGGAAAACGCACGAAGCUGGAGCCCACGCAGCUGGCACCGAACUGGGCGGAGUGAGGAUGCUCUGAGAGUGAUGCCAGGGGAGGCAGGGGAGGCGGGGGAGGGGAGGCCGGGGAGCCGGAGGUGAGCGCGGAGGGAGGAGGACCUGGCCCACCCCCGCCCUUACGGACCCCUCGGGAUAAAGUUAGCUUUCCCACUGCUGUCAGCCGACGAACCCAGAGCAAGGCACCCGCCCUCCAUCUCCGGCGGCUGCCUGACUCAGGCUCCGCACAGACCGGGUUCGGAGGGGACAACUCGCCAAGAUGCGCGUCCCACGCACCGCUCUGCUUGGAGGUAGAGGGGACCCGCGUGAGGGCGAGACCCCGGCUCCGCUGCCCAGGAAUGGCCUCCGCCUCCCGGGGCCAAAUGUUUGAGGUCAGCCAGUUGGGCAGACGAGCUCACCACAAGCCGGCGGUCAUCUAGCCGGGUCUGUGGCCAGAACCCACCCUGUGAUCCUGGAUGCGAGCCAGACACACCUCCAGGCUUGGGGCGGGCUCCGCAGGCGGUCCAACUACAGUUCGGGUCACGACCUGGCUUCUGAACAGCCUACUCCCACCCGAGUAAACAAGCAGCUGGGCGGCAGUUCGACUUGAAAAAGUAACCCUCACCCUCAGCCCAUAACUCUCAAAGCUUCUCCCUCUCCGGCUCCUCUGGGGUCCCGGCACCCCCUCUUGCGUCCUCAAGGUGUCAGACUUCCCCUGCAAGAGCUGGCUGGCGUCUGCGGCUCGCCACUAGUGUCAACAAUGGAGACAGUCGCAAUGAAUAAGUGAUGAGGCAGCGUUCCACCCACCCUCACCCAGCUCGGUCUUUCCAACAGGCAUAGGAAAUCCGUAACAUGAAGAAUGGAACAAUCACAGACAGCCUUGCAGAGACUCCCAUGGAACCUAUCUUGGUUCAUGGAAGAUGUAAUCACUACUGACCAGGACAUAAGGCUGCUGAACCAGAAGUGGACUUGACAUACAGCAGUGACGCUGCCUGGCUUUGAGGGUGACAGAACUCACGUGAAUGUGCUUCCAUUCACACAAGAGUUCCAUUCUGAGAACUUGUCCAGUGGUUGUAUGUUUCUUAAUCAAGUCGCAUUUCAGGCAUCUCAAAAUAGCGCUCAAAGUAAAUGAACUUAGAAGUGAAUCCUUUAAAAGUAUUUCAGG